CCUACGGGAGGCAGCAGUGAGGAAUAUUGGUCAAUGGGCGCGAGCCUGAACCAGCCAAGUCGCGUGAGGGAAGACGGCCCUACGGGUUGUAAACCUCUUUUGCCGGGGAGCAACGGGCGCCACGUGUGGCGCCACUGAGAGUACCCGGAGAAAAAGCAUCGGCUAACUCCGUGCCAGCAGCCGCGGUAAUACGGAGGAUGCGAGCGUUAUCCGGAUUUAUUGGGUUUAAAGGGUGCGUAGGCGGAGCGUUAAGUCAGUGGUCAAAUUGAGGGGCUCAACCCCUUCCCGCCAUUGAUACUGGCAGUCUUGAGUGGAGUUGAGGUAGGCGGAAUUCGUGGUGUAGCGGUGAAAUGCAUAGAUAUCACGCAGAACUCCGAUUGCGAAGGCAGCUUGCUAGCCUGCUACUGACAUUGAUGCACGAAAGUGUGGGUAUCAAACAGGAUUAGAUACCCCAGUAGUC
rnacentral:rRNA from 1 species